UACAAUUAUAAACAAAGAACUACUACAAAUUAUAUUCUCCAGAUUAAGAGAACAUGCUUGCAAAAGUCAUUAUUAACCUUUUUUUUAUAUACAACCUAAUCAUCAAGCUACACUACACAGAUAUGAUGGACUUACGUCUAUGUCUAUAUAUAAAAUACACACUGACGUAGGUCCACAGAUAAAUUAUGGGCAUACGUCUAUGUGUAUUUUACAUUAAAUAGCUAAGCCAUUUGGUGUGUAAGUCUACUUAGCAGGCUAUCUUAAUCAUGAUCCAACUUUUCAAAGGAGAAACAAAAGACAGUUUAUUCAAUGUUAAGACUGAGAACCAAUUUCCAACGAAUAUCCCGUCAGAAAAUAGGUUUUUAAAUAGGUCACCAAUAUGUACAACAGAUUCAGAUAAUCAAAGGGAAACUUCACCAUAAAGACAAACAUAAUCAGACAAAACAUUAAUAACCAGCAGCCUUGUGCUUAAAUCCCCACACAAAAAAUGGUAGGUUACAACAGCUUAUAGGCACUGAGGUUACUCCUGAACAAAGUGAUUCAGU